rnacentral:rRNA from 1 species
CAGCCGCCACGGUAAAACGUAGGGUGCGAGCGUUAAUCGGAAUUACUGGGCGUAAAGCGUGCGCAGGCGGUUCGUUAAGACAGAUGUGAAAUCCCCGGGCUUAACCUGGGAACUGCAUUUGUGACUGGCGAGCUAGAGUAUGGCAGAGGGGGGUAGAAUUCCACGUGUGGCAGUGAAAUGCGUAGAUAUGUGGAGGAAUACCGAUGGCGAAGGCAGCCCCCUGGGAUAACACUGACGCUCAUGCACGAAAGCGUGGGGAGCAAACAGGAUUAGAUACCCCGGUAGUCCCUGUCUCUUAUAA